rnacentral:rRNA from 1 species
UACGGAGGGGACUAGCGUUGUUCGGAAUUACUGGGCGUAAAGCGCACGUAGGCGGAUUUGUAAGUCAGGGGUGAAAUCCCGGGGCUCAACCUCGGAACUGCCUUUGAUACUGCAAAUCUCGAGUCCGGAAGAGGUGAGUGGAAUUCCUAGUGUAGAGGUGAAAUUCGUAGAUAUUAGGAAGAACACCAGUGGCGAAGGCGGCUCACUGGGCCGAUACUGACGCUGAGGAGCGAAAGCGUGGGGAGCGAACAGG